GGCGGACGCAACAUCUUCAAGGCAAAACCUUAGACGUGAUGCAACAUCAUCCCAUGUUGCAAUCACCCUCAGGAGGCACUUGAAGCCCAGUGCCCAAUAUAUGCACUGGAACAUUUCCAGUGUCAGAAGUAGAACUGCCAUGCCAGCUUUUCUUGGAGAAAGUGAGGAGGAUGUGAUUGGUCAUGCAGCAGCACAGAUAAACACCACAAAGACAUCUGAAAUCUGUCACAAGAUAACACGUCUAAAAUUGUG